UACGUAGGUGGCAAGCGUUGUCCGGAAUUAUUGGGCGUAAAGCGCGCGCAGGCGGUCCUUUAAGUCUGAUGUGAAAGCCCACGGCUCAACCGUGGAGGGUCAUUGGAAACUGGGGGACUUGAGUGCAGGAGAGAAGAGUGGAAUUCCACGUGUAGCGGUGAAAUGCGUAGAGAUGUGGAGGAACACCAGUGGCGAAGGCGACUUUCUGGUCUGUAACUGACGCUGAGACGCGAAAGCGUGGGGAGCAAACAGG
rnacentral:rRNA from 1 species